rnacentral:siRNA from 1 species
CUUUCGAUUGGUGUAAGUAGUGCA